UACGUAUGGAGCAAGCGUUAUCCGGAUUUACUGGGUGUAAAGGGAGCGUAGGCGGUAAGGCAAGUCUGAUGUGAAAGGCCAGGGCUCAACCCUGGGACUGCAUUGGAAACUGUUUAACUGGAGUGUCGGAGAGGCAAGUGGAAUUCCUAGUGUAGCGGUGAAAUGCGUAGAUAUUAGGAGGAACACCAGUGGCGAAGGCGGCUUGCUGGACGAUGACUGACGCUGAGGCUCGAAAGCGUGGGGAGCAAACAGG
rnacentral:rRNA from 1 species